AGCUCUUUUAUAGAUCUCUCUUAAACUAAAACACCACUCUUAUCCUCUCACUAAAAUAUCUACAUUUGAUCUCUUCUCUUUCUAGAAACACAGAAAUGGACGGUCUGAUCCGGGGCUUGGUCGACGUAGCUCUCGGUGGUGGCCUCCGCGACGAGGACGACCACGAUUCGGGCCCAGAUACACGAGAUGAGCGGUCCCGAUCCUCAUGGGCGCAGGUGGUGUCAGCGGAGCAAGAUAAGAACGAUCAGGAGUGCGUGGAGCCAGGUCUUCAGUGGAAUAGAAA